ACGAGGCAAUCUUCAAUUCAAUAUAAUAGAGACUAAAUCAUUUAGAAUCUUUGGACCAAUAUGCAAGUGUGAAUUUAAGGAAGUAUUGUUAGAAGUCAAACUUGAUGGAUUAAAUACAACUCUUAGAUACAUUCGGGAGACUUAAAAAUUCCUGUGAAUGAGCUGUAAUAAGUGGUCGCUUAUUAUUAUACCUAGCCUUUAUCGACUCCCAUGUGGAAACAAAAUUAACCUCAGUAAUUAUCACAUGUUUCAAAAGUUGUUCUGCUUCGCCCUUCAAAGAAGACUUUAAAUAAUGUAUUCUAGUGACAUUUGAUAAGGAAUCAUUUUGAAUAAUUAGCUCCUCAAACAACUCUCUGAAAUUCUCCCAAUCCUUAUAAUCGCCAGAAAAUACAGAACUCAAUAGAAAAUGUUGGUUUCCCAAGCUUCUGUUCCAUUUUCUGUUUUUGACUUUUUAUAAUGAGACGUUUCUGAGUGCUGUUUCUAACUUUGCCUGAACCAGACCUGGACCAGAAAAGUGCAUAAUUAAUCACAUCAAC